AUUGAACGCUGGCGGCAUGCUUUACACAUGCAAGUCGAACGGCAGCGGGGAGGUGCUUGCUUCUCUGCCGGCGAGUGGCGAACGGGUGAGUAAUACAUCGGAACGUGUCGAGAAGAGGGGGAUAACCACCCGAAAGGGUGGCUAAUACCGCAUAAAUUCUGAGGAAGAAAGCUGGGGACCUAGGAAUAGGCCUAGCGCUUUUUGAGCGGCCGAUGUCGGAUUAGCUAGUUGGUGAGGUAACGGCUCACCAAGGCGAAGAUCUGUAGCGGGUCUGAGAGGAUGAUCCGCCACACUGGGACUGAGACACGGCCCAGACUCCUACGGGAGGCAGCAGUGGGGAAUUUUGGACAAUGGGAGCAACCCUGAUCCAGCCAUGCCGCGUGUAUGAAGAAGGCCUUAGGGUUGUAAAGUACUUCUGUUAGGGAAGAAAAGUCAGCUGUGAAUAAUGGCUGAUACUGACGGUACCUAAAGAAUAAGCACCGGCUAACUACGUG
rnacentral:rRNA from 1 species